AGCUGAACAAGCAAUACAACAAGCGAACGAAUGCCUUCUCCCAUCAGGCUGUUCAAUUUAAGCUCCUCAUAGAUCAGAUGAAGCACAAAGAAAAUAGCUGGAAUGUGGGUGAAGAGAAGAGUUGAGGAAUCCAAGCUGAGGCUGGGUGAAAAGUCAUCUUUUGGAAAUGAAGUUUCCAGUGGAUCCAACCGCAAGGCUCUGGACUGAGGUAAAUGCUGACUCCAUCUCUUACUUCGUCUGAUCCUGUCUCCGAAGGUCUAGCUUUCUUGGGAGCAAUGACAGGAGAAAGGGAUCCUUCAAAAUCAAGCUGCAAGAAAUAAAAAGGCAAAAUUAACUAUUGUAAAACCCCUGAAAUUACAUACAUGAAUCACCAACAAGAACUAAAGAAACAAUCCACAGGAAAACACCUACCAGAGUUACUCUGUUGUGAACAGGGUCUCGCACAGCGUGAAUGAAAGUUCCAAGUUGUUGGAAAGUACAAUCAUCAAUGUAAGAGGAGUCAUGAAGUUUGGAAGAAUCCCUCAACUCUGGAACUGGAGACAACAGCACUCCCUGCAAAGGAACAAAACAAUAAUUAAAAGCUGAAAUUGUGGGUACCCAGAAAAACCCACACAUGCUUACCGCAACUGGAGCUGGGAUUCCACUAAAAAGCACAAGAACUUUUGUCCACAAAGGCAGGAGACAGUCAUGCCUUCAGAUCCAGAGCUCCUGUUCUACUGCUGAUAACCCAGCCAGGUGUCCUGUUACCAGUGGUGCCGCCUAGAGAGAUUUCAGCUGCAGCACAUCCUGGG